rnacentral:rRNA from 1 species
UGGGGAAUUUUGGACAAUGGGCGAAAGCCUGAUCCAGCAAUGCCGCGUGUGUGAAGAAGGCCUUCGGGUUGUAAAGCACUUUUGUCCGGAAAGAAAUCCUUGGCUCUAAUACAGUCGGGGGAUGACGGUACCGGAAGAAUAAGCACCGGCUAACUACGUGCCAGCAGCCGCGGUAAUACGUAGGGUGCAAGCGUUAAUCGGAAUUACUGGGCGUAAAGCGUGCGCAGGCGGUUUGCUAAGACCGAUGUGAAAUCCCCGGGCUCAACCUGGGAACUGCAUUGGUGACUGGCAGGCUAGAGUAUGGCAGAGGGGGGUAGAAUUCCACGUGUAGCAGUGAAAUGCGUAGAGAUGUGGAGGAAUACCGAUGGCGAAGGCAGCCCCCCUGGGCCAAUACUGACGCUCAUGCACGAAAGCGUGGGGAGCAAACAGGAUUAGAUACCCUGGUAGUCCACGCCCUAAACGAUGUUAACUAGUUGUUGGGGAUUCAUUUCCUUAGUAACGUAGCUAACGCGUGAAGUUGACCGCCUGGGGAGUACGGUCGCAAGAUUAAAACUCAAAGGAAUUGACGGGGUCAUAGCUGUUUCCU